GAUGAACGCUAGCUACAGGCUUAACACAUGCAAGUCGAGGGGCAGCACAGUGUAGCAAUACUUGGGUGGCGACCGGCGCACGGGUGCGUAACGCGUAUCCAACCUUCCCGUUACUCUUGGAUAGCCUUCCGAAAGGGAGAUUAAUACAAGAUGGUGUUCAAAUUCCGCAUGUUAUUUGAACUAAAGAUUUAUCGGUAACGGAUGGGGAUGCGUGACAUUAGGUAGAUGGCGGGGUAACGGCCCACCAUGCCUACGAUGUCUAGGGGUUCUGAGAGGAAGGUCCCCCACACUGGAACUGAGACACGGUCCAGACUCCUACGGGAGGCAGCAGUGAAGAAUAUUGGUCAAUGGUCGGAAGACUGAACCAGCCAAGUAGCGUGAAGGAUGAAGGUUCUAUGGAUUGUAAACUUCUUUUAUACGGGAAUAAAACCUCCCACGUGUGGGAGCUUGUAUGUACCGUAUGAAUAAGCAUCGGCUAACUCCGUGCCAGCAGCCGCAGUAAUAC
rnacentral:rRNA from 1 species